UACGUAGGGGGCGAGCGUUGUCCGGAAUUACUAGGCGUAAAGGGCAGGCAGGCGGAUCCAUAAGUUUAUCGUUUAAGGCGUCGGCUUAACCGGCGUAGGGCGGUAGAUACUGUGGAUCUGGAAUGCGGUUGGGGAAGACAGAAUUCCUGGUGUAGCGGUGGAAUGCGCAGAGAUCAGGAGGAAUACCGAAGGCGAAGGCAGUCUUCCAAGCCGUUAUUGACGCUCAACUGCGAAGGUGUGGGUAUCAAACAGGAUUAGAUACCCUGGUAGUCCCUGA
rnacentral:rRNA from 1 species